UGUGUAGGCGGUUCUUUAAGUUUGGUGUGAAAUCUCCCGGCUUAACCGGGAGGGUGCGCCGAAUACUGAGGGACUAGAGUGUGGGAGAGGAAAGUGGAAUUCCUGGUGUAGCGGUGAAAUGCGUAGAUAUCAGGAGGAACACCGGUGGUGUAGACGGCUUUCUGGACCAUAACUGACGCUGGGACACGAAAGCGUGGGUAGCAAACA
rnacentral:rRNA from 1 species